rnacentral:rRNA from 1 species
GGGUUGUGAGGUUAAGCGACUAAGCGUACACGGUGGAUGCCCUGGCAGUCAGAGGCGAUGAAGGACGUGCUAAUCUGCGAUAAGCGCCGGUAAGGUGAUAUGAACCGUUAUAACCGGCGAUUUCCGAAUGGGGAAACCCAGUGUGACUCGUCACACUAUCAUUAACUGAAUCCAUAGGUUAAUGAGGCGAACCGGGGGAACUGAAACAUCUAAGUACCCCGAGGAAAAGAAAUCAACCGAGAUUCCCCCAGUAGCGGCGAGCGAACGGGGAGGAGCCCAGAGCCUGAAUCAGCAUGUGUGUUAGUGGAAGCGUCUGGAAAGGCGCGCGAUACAGGGUGACAGCCCCGUACACAAAAGCGCAUGUGUUGUGAGCUCGAUGAGUAGGGCGGGACACGUGGUAUCCUGUCUGAAUAUGGGGGGACCAUCCUCCAAGGCUAAAUACUCCUGACUGACCGAUAGUGAACCAGUACCGUGAGGGAAAGGCGAAAAGAACCCCGGCGAGGGGAGUGAAAAAGAACCUGAAACCGUGUACGUACAAGCAGUGGGAGCCCCACCACUAAGCCAGUGGUGAACUCCACAUACGCAUCCUUUGCUGAAGGUGCGGUUAACGGAGCGCAAGCGACGUUCAACCUCAAAAGAAGCAGAGGGGGCUUAGUG